GACGAACGCUGGCGGCGUGCUUAACACAUGCAAGUCGAACGGAAAGGCCCUGCUUUUGUGGGGUGCUCGAUUGGCGAACGGGUGAGUAACACGUGAGUAACCUGCCCUUGACUUUGGGAUAACUUCAGGAAACUGGGGCUAAUACCGGAUAGGAGCUCCUGCUGCAUUGUGGGGGUUGGAAAGUUUCGGCGGUUGGGGAUGGACUGGCGGCUUAUCAGCUUGUUGGUGGGGUAGUGGCUUACCAAGGCUUUGACGGGUAGCCGGCCCGGGAGGGUGACCGGCCACAUUGGGACUGAGAUAGGGCCCAGACUCCUACGGGAGGCAGCAGUGGGGAAUAUUGCACAAUGGGCGGAAGCGUGAUGCAGCAACGCCGCGUGCGGGAUGACGGCCUUCGGGGUGUAAACCGCUUUAGCCUGUGACGAAGCGUGAGUGACGGUAAUGGGUAAAGAAGCACCGGCUAACUACGUG
rnacentral:rRNA from 1 species